rnacentral:lncRNA from 1 species
UAAAACUCAUAAGAACCUCACUCGGGAGGUGGGAACCGCAACAUGAUUUGUUGCAUCAUGCCUUGGACAUCAUCCAAGACUACUCUUUGUCUUGUUUGCUCCUUCUUCAUGAGCUUUUUAUUAACUAGAAGAAAAAAAACUAAAACAACAAGAAAAUAAAUUAGUGAAAAAAACAUGGGUUGCCUCCCACAAAGAGCUUUAUUUAAGGUCAUUUAGCUCGACAAUUGAUGAGUGCAAGCCCUCAUGGUGGCUCCCUCAAAAAAUAAUUCCUCAACUUCA